rnacentral:misc_RNA from 1 species
CAAAGAUUGAGCAUGGCAUG